ACACCCUUCCCGGCCGGCCAGCAUCUGUAGUGGGCGAGGAUGAGGAACCAGGUGAAGUGGAUGUCUUCUCAUUAGCCCAUCCCAAUCCCCAGCCCGAAGAGGCAGAAACCAUCCCGGGUUUGAGUCUUGUCUUGAGCACCCUGAGGCCAGGACACAGGUUCGUGCUGCCCUUUCUUCACCACUCCCCAACCCCCACCCCCACAUCAUGGGGGAAACUGAAAGAGAUCCCCCUCCCUCCCUGGAAGCCCUGUGGGCCCUCUGCAUCUUGCUUUGCCCUUGUGAUUUUUUCAGAGCAAAGCCCUCUUGAAGAAGCCCACCUGGUUCAUCACCCAGCAGCAUCAGUAAGCUGGACAUUCAUGCAUCUAACACAAUAGGCUCUACCAAAACUGUCCUGCCAUGGUGGGGGAGAUGACGCCAGAGUACCCUCCACCUGUUUGCCAACACGGUCAGUGGGAGAGUCACCAAGCCCACCACCUACAGACCUCGCUUCCCAGGUCCAUACAGUCAAGGCUACGGUAGUUACGUACGGUUGUGAGAGCUGGACCAUAAAAAAGGCAGAGCACCAAAGAAUUGAUGCUUUUGAACUGUGGUGCUGGAGAAGACUCUUGAG
ensembl:lncRNA